rnacentral:rRNA from 1 species
CCGCGAUUCGCCCUUCGGGGUGCAGCAGGCGCGAAAACUUUGCAAUGCGGGAAACCGUGACAAGGGAACUCUGAGUGCCCGUAAAAUCGGGCUGUCCAUCGGUUUAAAUAACCGGUGAAGAAAGGGCCGGGCAAGACCGGUGCCAGCCGCCGCGGUAAUACCGGCGGCUCGAGUGGUGGCCACUAUUACUGGGCUUAAAGCGUUCGUAGCUGGUCUGUUAAGUCUCUGGGGAAAUCUUCCGGCUUAACCGGAAGGCGUCUCAGGGAUACUGGCAGACUAGGGACCGGGAGAGGUGAGAGGUACUCCAGGGGUAGGAGUGAAAUCCUGUAAUCCUUGGGGGACCACCUGUGGCGAAGGCGCCUCACCAGAACGGCUCCGACAGUGAGGGACGAAAGCUGGGGGAGCAAACCGGAUUAGAUACCCGGGUAGUCCCAGCUGUAAACGAUGCGCGUUAGGUGUAUCGGUGACCACGAGUCACCGAGGUGCCGAAGAGAAAUCGUGAAACGUGCCGCCUGGGAAGUACGGUCGCAAGGCUGAAACUUAAAGGAAUUGGCGGGGGAGCAC